UCAGAUGCAAGGCCACACGGAGCUCAGGAAGGGCCAAGGCCGAGACCCUCGGGUCCUCUUUGGAAAGGGGCGCCCCCUAAUCCCCGUGGGAGAAAAGGUGAGGGGAGAGUGGAGAUCCCACCGGGGCCAGCCCAGGGGUUAAUCAUCUGGAUAAUCGGGAAAGGGCGCUGCCCGGCCUGGUCGCUGUCACCGAGAGUGUCAGUCACCAGCUCUCGACCCGCCGCAGAAAUUACCUGCUCCAAGAGACAUCCCACGGAGCCCUCCGCACUGAGCUGUCCCCGCCCGCUGUCUGCGGGAAGCAAACCGCGCCCUCGUUCAAAAGAAGCGGAUGCCCCUUUGACCCUCCUCCUCCCCCAGACGGUUCCCAAAUCCAGAAGGGCAGUGCCGGCUCGGGAUCGCUCCCAACUCCUACAGCGCAGCUCCAGCUUCCGGGCUACCUGCCUAUUACACAGUCCGUCUACCAAAAGGAAAAAAAAAGUGGUGGUGGAGGCGAGGAAAAUGCUCGUUCCCCGGGCCGAGCGCUUCCGCCGCGCGCUGAUCCCACCCGCCAAGCCCCGAAGGAGCCGGCGGCGCAGCGGCCCAGGCCCGGCCCCAGCACUGCUCCGGACUCCCGGUAGGGGGAGCCUCCCCGGGCGCGGGGCCAGCCCGGGUCCCGGCCUCCCCGCUCGGCCUCGCAGCCCGCGCGGCCGCCUCUCCACCUGCCCGUGGGGGAAGGGAGCCCCGCGCCGAGCCUGCCCCCAUCCCUGGCUGCUGCACCGCAGAGAAGACAGACACGACCGAAGUGCAUUCUUGAGGUCCAAAUAUAGGUAGGGAAAUUUGUAGGUGAGCUCACCUACAUAGCCAACGGGACGAAAAAUAUAGCACUUUCGGUGGCUAAGAACUGCUCUUGGUUCCACACAUUUUGAGCCUCAUUUUAAGAAUUCUAAGUGAUCUAAUUAAUCCCUUCUCAUUGCGUCUCCAAGUUGCCCAAGCAGCUGAUUUAGCUGGCCCCAGGACCAAGCAGCAGCUCAGAAGAGACCUGCUGGCCCUCCUGCAGUAACCUCAUCCACCGACUCUCUCCCUUCUGAUUCCUUAUGCUUUAGGAGCGGCUCAGAAGCUUUCAUUUUAGGAUAUGACCAAUGUUCAGAGAACAACCCAAAUUCAGGGUGAAGGGGAAAGAAGUCAGACACACUGUGAACCCACAGAUCACUCUACUGUGCCCCGUGUGGUCGAACACCUGAGCUCGAGGGGCCAGAGAAUUCCUGGAGGAUACUCCGCAGAUAAAACCUGCAAGCUCCCCUUCUGCAAAAAGCCAUCCUUCCCGCAGGAAUCCACAGCGCAGAAGAGCUCUCAUAAGGCCAAGUCAUCAAGAGCUCUUCAGAGAGAAUUGCAUAAGCAAAGAAUUUCACACUUGGAAGGAAACUUAAAGACCACUUAGUCUAAUGGUUGUGGUUUACUGGUGAGGAGCUUGAGCUCAGUAGACGGGAGGCAGAUUCACACUCCAGGUGAGAAAAUCCCUGAAUGCGGAGUUGAGCCUCCAACUCUCCUCUUUUGACCCUCAGUCCAGGACUGUUUGGACCGCAGGACACCAGAAAUGCAUUUUACUGUUGUUGCUAUCCCGGUAAUUACGAAUAUAUUUCCACAUAGUUUAGAGUGCUUAGUAAGACAUACUUCUUUCAUAAUAUUGCAACAAUAGCAAAAUCUGCAAGGUCUGUGUGAAAAGAAUAUUACAGUUGGUUCAAGAGACGCUGAAUUUUGGAAGUGAAGUUGCAUAUAGCAUUGAGGCAUUUGGGGGAGAGACUAAACAAAAGUGGUUGUAUUGUUUUAUCCCAAUUUAAGAACAUGCAAUAUAUGCAAAUAUAUGAAUAAAUGAACAAAACAGUACA
rnacentral:lncRNA from 12 species